UACAGAGGGGGCAAGCGUUGUUCGGAAUUACUGGGCGUAAAGGGUGCGUAGGCGGCCUGUUAAGUCGAACGUGAAAUCCCCAGGCUCAACCCGGGAACUGCGUCCGAUACUGGCAGGCUUGAAUUCGGGAGAGGGAUGCGGAAUUCCAGGUGUAGCGGUGAAAUGCGUAGAUAUCUGGAGGAACACCGGUGGCGAAGGCGGCAUCCUGGACCGAGAUUGACGCUGAGGCGCGAAAGCCAGGGGAGCAAACGGG
rnacentral:rRNA from 1 species